UACAGGGGGUGCAAACGUUGCUCGGAAUCAUUGGGCGUAAAGCGCACGUAGGCGGUCUGUUAUGUCGGAUGUGAAAGCCCUCGGCUCAACUGAGGAAGUGCAUCCGAAACUGGCAGGCUAGAGUACUAAAGAGGGUCGCGGAAUUCCCGGUGUAGAGGUGAAAUGCGUAGAGAUGCGGAGGAACACCAGUGGCGAAGGCGACCACCUGGCCUGUUCUUGACGCUGAGGCGCGAAAGCUAGGGGAGCAAACGGG
rnacentral:rRNA from 1 species